rnacentral:rRNA from 1 species
UACGGAGGGGGCUAGCGUUGUUCGGAAUUAUUGGGCGUAAAGCGCGCGCAGGUGGCUUCUUAAGUCUGAUGUGAAAGCCCACGGCUCAACCGUGGAGGGUCAUUGGAAACUGGGAGACUUGAGUGCAGAAGAGGAAAGUGGAAUUCCAUGUGUAGCGGUGAAAUGCGUAGAGAUAUGGAGGAACACCAGUGGCGAAGGCGACUUUCUGGUCUGUAACUGACACUGAGGCGCGAAAGCGUGGGGAGCAAACAGG